rnacentral:tRNA from 1 species
GGAAUAGUUUAAAAAGAAUUUCAGCUUUGGGUGCUGAUGGUGGGGUGAUGCCUCUUCCUUGAAGU